rnacentral:ribozyme from 2 species
AUUAUAACUCCGCCUGUAGCCCCUCCGUGGGCUGCUACCGGUCCCAAGCCCGAAUAAAGGAGGAGGGUGAG